rnacentral:lncRNA from 1 species
GGAGAGUUUCCUUUUGCUGGAUGAUGCUGCCAUGCAGCAUCUUAUUCCAAAAAUUGGUCAACGUCUCAAAUUUCAAAAACAUCACAAGGAGCUUGGAGCAUGGUACACACCUGGCCGAAAACACAGACCUGCUACAGGUUUUUUGGAGGAGCGCUUGAGAAAUGUCAGAAAGCGUAUGAGGAGCCUGAUUCGCCCGCGCCAACAGGAACCACAAGAGGACCAUGCUGUCCUUACACCAGAUUCACUUUCAUCUCCCCAAAAUAUUCGAGAGAUGGUUGCCUGGCUGAAAGCUAACAAAUAUCCAGUCUCUGAAGUGGAGGCCAAGAUGAAGGAAACCUCCAUACACAGAAGCAAAUGGAUUAGAUGUAACGGCUCCAAAACCAUCAGUGAAAUCCUGAGGGAGUUUCCCAGGCUGACAGACAAUCCUGGCAUGAUAUCGCAAGACUUUCAGCAACUUCAUCCUGAGGCAGCAGGACAAAUGUUUGAGAAGUGGCCUGCAAUUGCAGACAAAAUCUUAAAAUAUGCCCAACGAGAGGG